rnacentral:tRNA from 1 species
GGGGGUGUAGCUCAGUGAUAGAUUGCUUGCCUAGCAUGCAGGAGACCCUGGGUUCAUCCCCAGCACUGCCA